GAUGAACGCUGGCGGCGUGCCUAACACAUGCAAGUCGAGCGAACAGACGAUGAGCUCUCUCCUCUGACGUUAGCGACUGACGGGUGAGUAACACGUGGAUAACCUUCCUCUUAUACUGGGAUAAUUUCGUGAAACCGGAGCUAAUACUGCAUAAUAUAUUGAACCGCAUAGUUCAAUAGAUAUUGACGGCUUUGCUGACUCUUUUAGCUGGAUCCGCGCCGCAUUAGCUAGUUGGUAAGGUAACGGCUUACCAAGGCGACGAUGCGUAGCCGACCUGAGAGGGUGAUCAGCCACACUGGAACUGAGACACGGUCCAGACUCCUACGGGAGGCAGCAGUAGGGAAUAUUCCGCAAUGGGCGAAAGCCUGACGGAGCAACGCCGCGUGAGUGAUGAAGGUCUUCGGAUCGUAAAACUCUGUUAUUAGGGAAGAACAAAUGUGUAAGUAACUAUGCACGUCUUGACGGUACCUAAUGAGAAAGCCACGGCUAACUACGUG
rnacentral:rRNA from 1 species